AUUGAACGCUGGCGGCAGGCCUAACACAUGCAAGUCGAACGGUAACAGGAAGAAGCUUGCUUCUUUGCUGACGAGUGGCGGACGGGUGAGUAAUGUCUGGGAAACUGCCUGAUGGAGGGGGAUAACUACUGGAAACGGUAGCUAAUACCGCAUAACGUCGCAAGACCAAAGAGGGGGACCUUCGGGCCUCUUGCCAUCGGAUGUGCCCAGAUGGGAUUAGCUAGUAGGUGGGGUAACGGCUCACCUAGGCGACGAUCCCUAGCUGGUCUGAGAGGAUGACCAGCCACACUGGAACUGAGACACGGUCCAGACUCCUACGGGAGGCAGCAGUGGGGAAUAUUGCACAAUGGGCGAAAGCCUGAUGCAGCCAUGCCGCGUGUAUGAAGAAGGCCUUCGGGUUGUAAAGUACUUUCAGCGGGGAGGAAGGGAGUAAAGUUAAUACCUUUGCUCAUUGACGUUACCCGAAGAAGAAGCACCGGCUAACUCCGUG
rnacentral:rRNA from 1 species